rnacentral:rRNA from 1 species
GAUGAACGCUGGCGGCGUGCCUAAUACAUGAAAGUCGAGCGAACAGACGAGGAGCUUGCUCCUCUGACGUUAGCGGCGGACGGGUGAGUAACACGUGGAUAACCUACCUAUAAGACUGGGAUAACUUCGGGAAACCGGAGCUAAUACCGGAUAAUAUAUUGAACCGCAUGGUUCAAUAGUGAAAGACGGUUUUGCUGUCACUUAUAGAUGGAUCCGCGCCGCAUUAGCUAGUUGGUAAGGUAACGGCUUACCAAGGCAACGAUGCGUAGCCGUCCUGAGAGGGUGAUCGGCCACACUGGAACUGAGACACGGUCCAGACUCCUACGGGAGGCAGCAGUAGGGAAUCUUCCGCAAUGGGCGAAAGCCUGACGGAGCAACGCCGCGUGAGUGAUGAAGGUCUUCGGAUCGUAAAACUCUGUUAUUAGGGAAGAACAAAUGUGUAAGUAACUAUGCACGUCUUGACGGUACCUAAUCAGAAAGCCACGGCUAACUACGUG